rnacentral:rRNA from 1 species
CCUACGGGAGGCAGCAGUGGGGAAUAUUGGGCAAUGGGCGCAAGCCUGACCCAGCAACGCCGCGUGAAGGAAGAAGGCUUUCGGGUUGUAAACUUCUUUUCUCAGGGACGAAGCAAGUGCCGUUCCCUUCGGAUUAAGCCCGGCCUAACUACGUGCCAGCAGCCGCGGUAAUACGUAGGUGGCAAGCGUUAUCCGGAUUUACUGGGUGUAAAGGGCGUGUAGGCGGGAAAGCAAGUCAGAUGUGAAAACCAUGGGCUGAACCUGUGGCUUGCAUUUGAAACUGUUUUUCUUGAGUACUGGAGAGGCAGACGGAAUUCCUAGUGUAGCGGUGAAAUGCGUAGAUAUUAGGAGGAACACCAGUGGCGAAGGCGGUCUGCUGGACAGCAACUGACGCUGAGGCGCGAAAGCGUGGGGAGCAAACAGGAUUAGAUACCCGAGUAGUC